AUUGAACGCUGGCGGCAUGCCUUACACAUGCAAGUCGAACGGCAGCACGGGUGCUUGCACCUGGUGGCGAGUGGCGAACGGGUGAGUAAUACAUCGGAACAUGUCCUGUAGUGGGGGAUAGCCCGGCGAAAGCCGGAUUAAUACCGCAUACGAUCUACGGAUGAAAGCGGGGGACCUUCGGGCCUCGCGCUAUAGGGUUGGCCGAUGGCUGAUUAGCUAGUUGGUGGGGUAACGGCCUACCAAGGCGACGAUCAGUAGCUGGUCUGAGAGGACGACCAGCCACACUGGGACUGAGACACGGCCCAGACUCCUACGGGAGGCAGCAGUGGGGAAUUUUGGACAAUGGGCGAAAGCCUGAUCCAGCAAUGCCGCGUGUGUGAAGAAGGCCUUCGGGUUGUAAAGCACUUUUGUCCGGAAAGAAAUCCUUGGCCCUAAUACGGUCGGGGGAUGACGGUACCGGAAGAAUAAGCACCGGCUAACUACGUG
rnacentral:rRNA from 1 species